GUCUAUGGCCAUGCUACCCUGAACAAGCCUGAUCCCAUCUAAUUUCGGAAGUCAAGCAGGGUCAGGCCUGGUUAGUACUUGGAUGGGAGACCACCUAGGAAGAUCAGGUGCUGUAGGUG
rnacentral:rRNA from 1 species